AACUCGCGUACUCGUACGGCGAGCUUCUGGAGUAUAACUAAAAGAGAAAGGAAAGAAGAGCAAAGUCAAAAAGACGUAGAAGAAAGGAACGAAGAGAGCGAGGAGAGGAAACCUGAUGAAGAAAACUGCAGCAAUAGUACAGCAAAGAUAAUACAUUACGAAGAAAUCAAACUGGGACCAUUUUCGUGGGGGAAAUAUAACGAUAGAUGCGACAUUUGUUUCGUCGAAGGUCCUGAUGUUAAAUGCGAGUGCUCGACCCCUGAUGUUAAUCACAAAAUGCCAAUACUCACGAAGA